rnacentral:rRNA from 1 species
GUCUACGGCCAUGCCACCCUGAACAAACCCGUUGUCUGAUCUCGGAAGCUAAGCAGGGUCAGGCCUGCUUAGUACUUGGGUGGGAGACCAUCUAGGAAGACCAGAUGCUAUGGGCA